rnacentral:tRNA from 1 species
UCAGCUUCGGCACAGUAGGUAGCGCGUCAGUCUCAUAAGCUCAAGGUCCCAAGUUCCAUCCUUGGAAGGAGAG